UACGUAUGGGGCAAGCGUUAUCCGGAUUUACUGGGUGUAAAGGGAGCGUAGGCGGCAGGGCAAGCCUGAUGUGAAAGCCCGGGGCUCAACCCCGGGACUGCAUUUGGAACUGUAUGGCUGGAGUGUCGGAGAGGCAGGCGGAAUUCCUAGUGUAGCGGUGAAAUGCGUAGAUAUUAGGAGGAACACCAGUGGCGAAGGCGGCCUGCUGGGCUUUUACUGACGCUGAGGCUCGAAAGUGUGGGGAGCAAACAGG
rnacentral:rRNA from 1 species